rnacentral:rRNA from 1 species
GACGAACGCUGGCGGCGUGCCUAAUACAUGCAAGUAGAACGCUGAAGGAGGAGCUUGCUUCUCUGGAUGAGUUGCGAACGGGUGAGUAACGCGUAGGUAACCUGCCUGGUAGCGGGGGAUAACUAUUGGAAACGAUAGCUAAUACCGCAUAAGAGUAGAUGUCGCAUGACAUUUGCUUAAAAGGUGCAAUUGCAUCACUACCAGAUGGACCUGCGUUGUAUUAGCUAGUUGGUGAGGUAACGGCUCACCAAGGCAACGAUACAUAGCCGACCUGAGAGGGUGAACGGCCACACUGGGACUGAGACACGGCCCAGACUCCUACGGGAGGCAGCAGGAGGGAAUCUUCGGCAAUGGACGGAAGGCUGACCGAGCAACGCCGCGUGAGUGAAGAAGGUUUUCGGAUCGGAAAGCUCUGUUGUAAGGGAAGAACGAGUGUGAGAGUGGAAAGUUCACACUGUGACGGUACCUAACCAGAAAGGGACGGCUAACUACGUG